GCCUACCUGAAGCUCUGGACAGAGUGAGGUCCAGGUGUAGGAACUGGCCCGUGGGGAGGGAAGACUAAGUCGGCCUCUGGCAGGAAGUCCAGGCCCAGGAAGUUGUAGGGUGGGGUCUUGGUAUUCUCCCAGUAUGGGCGGGACUGGAGGAAGCCACCAACCAACGAAGUACUGGGCCUGUGGGUAUUCGUCUCUCUCCCCGCCCCUGAGAGUCUGGGAAAGGCUGACACGUGGUGCCUUCAGGCUCUGGGGCCUAGGACCUUUGUGGUAGCAGAGUCACUGCAGAGAACCAGACAAUACCAGGUUGCUUAUAAAAGGAUGCCAUGUGCUUGCUGGAGGUCCCAGGUGCAACCAAAUUGCUUGCAGCUAGGAGGACCUUGAAGAGAAAUGGGAUCAGCCCGCCAAACCAAGAAGGGUUAGCACUUUUGCUAGGAGAGCUGACCACGCACAAACAGAUGAGAACCAAAACCGAGUGAAGAGGAUUGAAGAUGAACCCACAUUUUAAAAGUUCUUGUCUGCUGGAGGUGGCAUUACCUGUGACCUCGCUUCACUUCUCCAUACAUGGCUGUUAUAGCAGAAAAUCCAGCUUUCUGAAGCAUAUUUCACGACAUAUGAUGAGACUUAUGUGAUGUGAGACCUGAGAAAACUAUGAUAGAAAGAAGCAACUCAAGUUGCAAGGAUAUUCCUCAUGUAUCAUGCAAGGAUAUUCCUCAUAUAUCAUAGACUAAGGUGUCAGUAUGUUCUUCAAGCUGCUCUGCUCCUGGGCCCAAGCUAUUCUCCUGCCUCAGCCUUCCAAGAAGCUGAAACUACAAGAACACAAGACUGUACCUGGCUUGCAAACACCAUUGCUAAUAAGAAGAUAUUGUAAGACUGAUACCUAAGAGAUAAGAGACAUGGAUCCCUGAGGUCGGUCCCCAAUACGACAAGACAAUUUGAUAUCAUAAUAGAACACUGCAGAAACAAUGCUGAGUGAAGAAGAGUAGAAAUGGGAAGACUUGGUUGAGCGGAAACUGAGUUCUUGAAAAGAGGAGAUGCUUGAUGAGGGCAUGGAUCCCUGAGGUCUGCCCCAGUACUAUAAGACAAUUUGAUGUAAGAAAACACAGCAGAUAUAAUACUGAGUGAAGAAGAGUAUAAAUGAGAAGAUUGGUUGUGCAGAUACUGAGUUCAUGAAAAGAGGAGAUGAUUGAUGAGGCCAGGUGCGGUGACUCAUGCCUGUAAUCCCUGCACUUUGGGAGGCUGCGGCGGGCGGAUCACCUGAGGUCAGGAGUUCGAGACCAGCCUGGGAGACAGAGCAUGGAAACCUAAGGUCUGUACCCAAAACUACAGGACUAUUUGACAUCAUAAUAAAACACUGCAGAUAUGAUGCUGAGUAAGAGUAGAAAUGGGAAGACUUGGUUGUGCAGUAACUGAGUUCUUGAAAAGAGGAGAUGCUUGAUGAGGGCAUGGAUCACUAAGGUCUGUUCCCAAUACAAGAAGACUCUUUGACAUCAUAAUAAAAUACUGCAGAUACGAUGCUGAGUGAAAAAGAGUAGAAAUGGGAAGACUUGGUUGUGCAGAAACUGAGUUCUUAAAGAGAGGAGAUACUUUAUGAGGUUGCAGGGCUUUGACUCCUGGGUACAUGUAUCUCAUCUGAAAGGGAAUCCUGACGCCUACUGAAUCUUAAUAGUCAAUAUUGAUAUCUGGCAUCAAAUUCAAGUUGACCAAAGUUCCAUCUUCAGACCUGGGAGAAGAUGACAGUCAAAAUGAACUGCUUUCAUGUGACACUGGACCAGGCCUAUAUACAAAGGCAUAAGUAAUCAUUGAAUAAUGUUUCAUCUAUCUAUCUUAAUAUAAUUUGUUCUAUGCCUUACUAGAUAAAUGUUUAGUUACCUGUGAGUUUUCUUUUCCUGCCAUUGUCAGAGCUAGGCAGGGCUUAAGUCCCUUUCGUUUAAACAUUACUAACUCUAUACAUAGCUUGCAAAAUUGGAUAAAACAACAAAGGUUACUUUUUCACUCUCUCUCUGCUUAAUAUCUCUGAAAUUUAAAACUAUUCAGAAUCCCACUGGGCCCGAUCUAUUUUCAAUGCUAAUGCUCCACUGCUAAAACUAUAUAAGCAUCUUCCCUCUAGGCUCAGGCACUAUCUUGGAAGAGGUAAAUGUGUAAGAUUGUAAAGGUUGAUUUUUGAGCAACAAAAUUAAUUUAGAUCUUCCAAAUAAAAAAUGGGCACACAGAUGCCCAAACAGUUGGCAAAAUAAGAUACUUUACCUCCUGGACCAGUAUGUGGACCUUUUUCAUCCAUCCCAACCAUAAUUUCCUCUUUCCUGUAGAAUUAAAAGAAAAUUGCAAAGAGGAUAUGAACUUUUCUGGUAAGAAAACCUCCUGGGUAUAGUGCUCCCAGUUAUGAGAUUUAUGCAGAUUGUUAUAUAAAGUUUUUUUAAAUCAAGCACCUUAGGACAAACUAUUAAAAAGACUGCUAAAAGCGUUGUGACACAACAAAAGUCUCUAAAUUCUGUAGCUUAAAAAGUUUUAACAAAGUACUUAUCUUUUGCAAGCUAAUUGCUACAAGUCUAUAACUAAAACAUGUAUUGACUGAUGUCUUAGGUCUCCCUAAAAUAUAUAAAACCAAGUUGUAAACCAAUCACCUUGGACACAUGUUCUCAGGACCUCUGGAGACUGUGCCUUGGGCCAUGGUCACUCAUAUUUGGCUGAGAAUAAAAUUUUAAAAAUAUUUUACAGAGUUGGGUUUUUCUUGUUGGCUUUUUCAUAAAAUGUAAAAUGUUUGAGAAAGACACUUCUCAAGUGGCCAAGUGAGGAUAUUCUAGCUUAAUGCGUAGAAUUUAUAGCUAAGUCAAUUUUGUAACCUUGCCUUUUGACUUUUGGUUCUUGAUGCUUACAUUACAAAAUUUUAAGGUUUGAUAAAUGCCUGCUCCACUUCCAUUCCCAUCUGGCCUAGGAUAUUUAAAUUGGCUAUAAGUCUUUUGGCUCUACAUCUGUUGGCCGUGAGUCCCCACCAAGGGAUAGGAUAGACCCAGGGCACAUAGCCACACCACCCCAGCAAUGGUAUGCAACAAAAUGAUAGUUUGGCCAUUGAUGUUGCCUCUGGGAAAUUUUUUUUUUUUUUUUGACGAAGUCUUGCUCUGUUGCCCAAGCUGGAGUGCAGUGGUGUGUUCUAGGCUGACUGCAACCUUUGCUUCCUGGGUUCAAGUGAUUCUCUUGCUUCAGCCUCCCAAAUGGCUGGUAUUACAGACGUGCACCACCACACCUGGCUAAUUUUUUUUUUUUUUUUUUGAGACAGAGUCUCACUCUGUCAUUCAGGCUGGAGUGCAGUGGCACAAUCUCGGUUCACUGCAACCUCCAUUUCCCGGGUUCAAGUGAUUCUCCUGCCUCAGCCUCCUGAGUAGCUGGGAUUAUAGGCAUGCACCACCAGGCCCAGCUAAUUUUUGUAUUUUUUUGUAGAGAUGGGGUUUCGCCAUGUUAGUCAGGCUAGUCUCGAACUCCUGACCUCGUGAUCCACCUGCCUCGGCCUCCCAAAGUGAUGGGAUUAUAGGCGUGAGCCACUGUGCCUGGCCUAAUUUUAGUAUUUUUAGUAGAGAUGGGGUUUCGCAAUGUUGGCCAGGCUAGUCUCGAACUCCUGACUUCAGGUGAUCUGCCUGCCUUGGCCUCCCAAAGUGCUGGGAUUACAGGUGUGAGCCACCACGCUUGGCCUCCUCUGCUCAAUCCUGACCAGAAAAAUCAAAUUCUAACUCCCCCAAUCAACUGAAUUCCCCUCCAUUCAUCUGCCAAGGGGAUUCUAAAGAAUCCUGAAAACUAGUUCAGGCCAUGACAAUUGACAUUAAAACAGAUCUUAAAACUGACAAAACAGAUUCUUUGUAGCAAUAAGAUACCAAAUUUCAACCUGACUCAGGUAUAACUUCACAUGAUAAAAAAGGAAAUAAAAAUAUUUUACCCCCAAAAUAGAUUUCUUUGACAUAUUUUGAAAUGGCCCUGCAAGGCAGUUGGGGAAAUUUUGCAUCUGUAAAGCAUCUCCUUAACAUAACUAGAUCUUUCCCCUUCCAGGCCCUCCUAAACCUGAAGAGAUUAACUGAGAUUCUAGCACCUUUUAAAGUCUACAUAGGAAACAUUCACCAUUUAUUAUCUCUAAGGGCAGCCACUUAUGAGACUUCAUCUAUGUAAUAAAAACCUUGGUCUCCACAACCCCUUAUGUUAACCCAGACACUCCUUUCUAUUGAUUCCAGGUCUUUAGAAAAUAACUUAACUCCUCCAAGCAAUUGCCAAACAGAAAACCUUGGCAUCUUCCUAUGACCUGUAAGCACCCACUUUCCCCUGCUUUAAGUUGUCCUACCCUUCUGCACCAAACCAAUGUAUACCUCACAUGUAUUGAUUGAUGUCUUCUGUCUCUCUAAAACAUAGAAAAGAAAGCUGUAACCCAACCACCUUGGUCAGGACGUCUUGAGACUGUGCCUUGCGCCAUGGUCAGUCGUAUUUUGUGCAGAAUAAACAUUUUUCAAUAUUUUACAGAGUUUGGCUUUUUUGUUGACUUUUUUCAUAAAACAUGAAAGAUUAUGUUUGAGAAAGGCGUUUCUCAAGUGACCAUGUGAAGAUGUUGGGAAAUCCUCUCGCCAAAGAACAACUAUGAAAUGGACAAAACCAACCAUUUCUGUGCUCUGGAAAUUAAAUGUGCACAACAAUGUUAAACUUUGGGCAAGAAAGUUUGAACUCUGAUACGGUUUUGAUUUGUGUCACUGCUGAAAUCUCUUGUGCAAUUGUGACCCUCAGUGUUGGAGGAGGGGCCUGGUGGGAAGUGAUUGGAUCAUGGGGGUGGAUUUCCCCCUUGCUGUUCUCAUGUAGUGAGUGAGUUCUCGUGAGAUCUGGUUGUUUAAAAGUGUGUAGCAUCUCCCCCUGCUCUCUUCCUCCUUCUCUGGCCAUGUAAAACCUGCCUGCUUCCCCUUUGCCUUCUACCAUGAUUGUAAGUUUCCUGAGGCCUCCACAGCCAUGCUUCCUGUACAGACUGUGGAAGUGUAAGUCAAUUAAACGUCUUUAGUCUUUAAACCUAUAAAUAUCUUUGUAACAACUUCCUUAGCUACAAUCUAUAAGUUAUUUAUAGAUUACACAGUCUCAGGUAGUUCUUAAUAGCAAUGCAAAAAUGCACUAAUACAAACCCUGUUUUGGUCUGGCCUGUGGCUGCUUCCGUAUUUCUCUUUCCUAGGUCCAUCUAUAGGGACAUUCUGCCAAGGUGAAAUAAAGACUGAUAAAAUUCCUUACUAGCAAACUUGUAUUACAAGAAAUAACUAAAAACAGUCCUUCAGUCUAAAAGGAAAUGACUCUAUAUGGUGACUUGAAUCCACAAGAAUAAAUGAAGGGCACAGGAAAUGGUAAAUAGCUGGGUUAAUAUAAAAAAGACUCUAUGUAUUGUUUUUUCAUUUUUUCUAUAUUAUCUAAAUGACCUAAGAUUAUGUGAAGUAAUAAUUAUUACAUUGUACUGUUGGUUUUAAAAUAUAUAACUGUAAUUUAUAUGAUAACAGACCAAUGUUGGAGGGGUUUGGAAAUAAAUAUGAGCAAAGUUUCUAUGUUUUACUUGAAGUAAGUUAGUAUUAAGCUGAUGUAUAUUCUGAUAGGUUAAAAUGUAUAUUGUAACCCUUAGAACAACUAUUAAAAUAAAUCAAAAGC
rnacentral:lncRNA from 1 species